rnacentral:lncRNA from 1 species
AGACUAAGCUAUAAUCCUUGUUCCCAAUGGGCAUUUUUUCAUGAAAAUUCUUGGGCCUGUUUUGAGGAUUGGAACAGGAGGUAAAGAUGACUGAGCACACUGUUGUGAAUGUCUUCAGCAAGGAUGGCUCUACAUCAGGAACGCAAAGUGCUGGGCAGUAAACAGAAGGUUAAGUAGUUAAGGCAUCCCGGUCUUCUUUACUCAUUACAGGUAGAUGUGAACGCUCUAAAUGUUUUCUCUUUUACGUAAUGACUCAAGGCUUCUCUAGAGGAAAGAUCUGCAGGGCCAGAGGCCUGCUGCAGGGGUGAGAGCACUUGUUGCUCUUGUAGAGGGCUCAGGUUUGCUUCUCAGCAGUAUGUGCUGCCUCACAACUGCCUGGAACUCCAGGUUCAGGGGCUCCGGUGCUCUUCUCUCGCCUCUUUGGGCACUGUGUGCUGCAUAUACAUAGAUGUAGGCAACACACUCAUAAAAUAAGUAAAUCUAAAAAAUGAACUGAAGAGAUGGCUCAGAGGAUAAGAGCACUGACCACUCUUCCAGAGGUCCUGAGUUCAAUUCCCAGCAACUAAAUGAUGGCUCACAACCAUCUGUAAUGGGAUCCAAUGCCCUCUUCUGGUGUGCAUGAAGACAGCUACGGUGUAUUCAUCUAAAUAAAAGAAUAAUUAAUUCUUUAAAAAAAAAACUAAAAAAAUUAAGUACAAAAAAGAAUCUGAGAUUCCUCCUUAUCCAUCUGUCCUAUCUUAACUGUGCACAUAAUGACAGCAGUGCUCAUAAUUUUCUGAUUAUUUUAUCUCCUUUAUGAAUCUUUUUUAUGUCUACCUUGCUAUUUUUAUUCAUCCUUUCAAGGUCUAUAAUACUGUAUUUCAGUUAGCAAAUGUCCCAGUUUUUAAUUAUUGUUAAUAUAUUAAUAGUAUAACAGAAACCUUAAAUGAGUAAUUUUUUAAAGAUGUAUUUAUUAUAUCUAUAUGGGUACACUGUAGUGUCUUCAGACACACCAGAAGAAGGCAUCAGAUCCCAUUACAGAUGUUUGUGAGCCACCAUGUGGUUGCUGGGAAUUGAAUGGAGGACGUCUGGAAGAGCAGUCAGUGCUCUUAACCGCUGAACCAUCUUUCCAGCCCCAGUAAUUCUUAUAUAACC